rnacentral:tmRNA from 1 species
GGGGGUGCACUGGUUUCGACAGGGGUCACUUUUGUUGGGGUAGCCAUCCGUAGACCCGGAUACUACGAUAAAAGCCGGAACAAUUUUUAAACGCUGAAGAUAAUUUAGCAUUCGCUGCGUAAGCAGCAAGCCUCUUUAAAAGUAACCCACAGCUUUAACUGAGGCUACGACGAGUGUGGGCAACUUUUAUGCCUAAGCUUUGCAGCAUAAUCGUACCAAUGAAGCUACUAAAGUCAUAAGCCUGUCACUGGGCGUAUGGCGGAGGGAAUGUCAAAACAGUGAAUAUGAUGGUAGAGACCACGGCCUGAGGGCUUUUGGACAGGGGUUCGACUCCCCUCACCUCCAUAC